CUCGCGGAAGCGCGCACCGAGCGGCACCCUCAGCCGGGCAGGAGGAACCAGCGGCGGCCGUCGCUCUCUCUGCCUCCGAGGGGAAGGGAGCGGGCUCCGGCCUUCCUGCCCACACGGAGCCCCGGACUCACCUUGGAGCCGGCGCACUUGUCGAGGAAUUCGCGCAGCUCCUUGCGGCCGGCCUCCCUCAGCGCCAUCAGGUUGACCCGGCCCGAGUUCAGAUGCGCCGCCAUGACGCGCCCCUCUCCUGCCUCCUUCCCUCCUCGACUCUGUUGGCCUCAAGCCCAGCCCAGGAGCCAGUGAGGAAAGCCGGUCAUGUGAAGCCCGCGAGGAGCAGGAGGAGGAGGCGGCCUCAAGCGCCCUGCCUGCCUGCCUGCAGCUGCUCUCUCUGUCUCAGAGGAGGGGAAAGAAUGGAGGAAUAAUAACCACCCCUACCCUCCCCGCCACACUUUAGGGUUUGCUGACUUAUUCUUUUACAUUUUGCCCUCCCAAGCAGGGCUCGUACAUGGCCAGGAGGCUUCUAAUGCAAGCUGUUUGAAUGAAGACAUGGGCACCCAGUAAGAAGUUCCUGAAGAAAAUGCCCUGCUAAGGCUGCCUGGUGAGCUUCGUGGCUGAGCAGGGAUUAAUAGCUUGGCUCUCUGGGAUCAGCUGGGCCUAUAAGGCCAUCAAGUCCAACCCCCUGCUCAAUGCAGGAAUCCAAAUCAAAGCAUUCCCAACAGAUGGCUGUCCAGCUGCCUCUUGAAUGUCUCCAGUGUCGGAGAGCCCACUACCUCUCUAGGUAAUUUGUUCCAUUGUCGUACGGCUGUCGUAUGUUGUAUGGAUGAGCAACCUGUGCUCUCCCCCAGAUGCUACUGGACUCCAGCUCCCAUCAGCCCCAGCCAGCAGCUGACAGCAUCUGGACGACCAGAGGGCCACCCUUCUCAACACUACAAUGCAAAGGGUCGCCAUGUCGGAAUUGACUUGAGGGCAGUACAUCUACAUCUCUAUAUUAUGGGCUAGACUUCGACUCCACCCCUUGAACUUUCCAUUGCUCUGCUUUUCAGUUUCAGUUUCAGUUGUGUUCUCUAUCCAGCCAUCAAUGAAGAACUUUUUUUUUUGCCUGCAGUAACAGGUAAACAACAUGACAUAAGGGAAGUUCCUCUUUAAAGAUAAUGCAAACCCAGAAGUUGGAAAAGAAAAUGGCAGCAAUCUGCCUAGUAAAUUAUUUAUUUCUAUUUUCAUUUUAGCUUAGGGCAGAAUAAAGUUAUUUUGCUGUGGAAGACCAAAAUAUCUCUCCAAGUCUGUGGGCUGGGAAGGGCAAGGGUCGCUGUCCUUUUUUUCCUGACAUCAGCACACUCAAAUGCUGCUAGUGGAUGUGGUCCGGCUAAUGCACAGAGCAAAGUUUCUUUUCCCUGGUCCUCUCCGGCAUCAGAAGGUCUCGUCG